rnacentral:rRNA from 1 species
GAGGAAUAUUGGACUAGGGCGAAAGCCUGAUCCAGCCAUGCCGCGUGAGUGAAGAAGGCCCUAGGGUUGUAAAGCUCUUUCAGUGGGGAAGAUAAUGACGGUACCCACAGAAGAAGCCCCGGCUAACUUCGUGCCAGCAGCCGCGGUAAUA